CUGAGCUCUUGCUUCCAUUUUCUUUUUCUUUUUAUUAUUUACAGAAUCAAAUUUAUAUAUAUAUAUAUAUAUAUUUUUUUUUUUUUUUUUUUUAAGAACACUUAAUAUGAGAUGUACUCUCUUAACAGACGUUCAAGGGCAGGGCACAGCGCCGGUGGCCGUAGGCAAUACGUGUCCAGCAGGAAGGAGAGAACGCAGUGGCUGGAGGCGGCAGCAGAGGGCGCUGUAAUGAAGGCUGUGUGAACCCAGAACAGCUCUAAAAAAUUGGUUAAAACAAAACCAAAAACAAACCGGAAAGGAGGAACGCUAGAUUUUGGACACAACUGAGAGUCUGUAGGAACUGCUAGCUCUGUAAGAAGCAAGUGCUUCCUGGCUGUUGGACUGGCCCCCACCUCCUGUCUGCCUCCGAGCCUGGACCAGCAAGGAGUCCUGGUGGAAGGUGGCACCAGGCACCAGGCAGGCGGAGGGGCCCAUUCCAUACUCGCGGAGACGGGCGCGCUCACAGCAUCACCGGCCUUCUGGCUUGGGUGUUCUGUCGGAGAGAUCCAGUGUGUGUGAGGGUCACAGAGGUCUUCUGGGCGCUCUGCAAAGCCUUCGGGGCAGUGGCAUGGACCGUGGGUGCAGACAGUGGCCAGGGCAGGCAUUCUGACAGCUUCAUGCCUCGGAGUUCUUCAUGAGCAAGACACACCAGCUGCACACUCCGCAGGCCACAGUACCCUGUGAACAUCACUUUCAUGUGCACUGGGAACCCAAAGUGCUUCUUCGACUCACUUCACUGCAAUAUUCGCUUUAUUGCUGUGAUCUGGAACCAAACCCACAGUAUCUCCAAGGUAUGCCUGUAAUUUUUCCUAAUUUUGUACACACUGAAAAAAAGCUUAGCGUAAUUAUCAGCACUUGUGUGAUCUCCUUGCCGUCAGGAGCCCUGCGCACUGGUUCCUACCGGCGGAUGCUUGCUCGCUGCCUAGCUCCUCACCACGGCCCCGGGAGGAGCGUGAGGCCCGGCUCCAGAGGAACCGUGGCUGCGUGCUCGUCAUUCUGUUGUCACAGCUCUACACACAGACUUGUUUGUGUUUUAUUUUCUUCCUUGGAAAGAUAGUUUGUGAGAAGAGAAUCAGGGUCUUCCUUGAUAAGACCCACAGCAAGGUGACCCAGAGCUAUGCCUAUCCCCAUGGGUCACCACGUUGCGAUUUUUAAAGUGAUCAAGUUACCUAAAGAGACAAACAAAACCUGACCCCAUGUAUACAGCAAGACACUCACAAACAUCACCCAGGCAAUUCCUUUGCUUCUAUGUUGAGGGGAGGGGUGACCACAGUGCAUUCUCCUCCUGGAGGUUCUCCCCUGGCAUGGUUUUAUACUACCCCUGAGGCAAUGCUAGCCCAGUCUGCCCGCAGUCUCCUUCUGUGUCGCGUUUCUUUGCAUAACGGAGCUUUCUCUAUUUUCCCUUGAGGAAGCGUAAGGAAGAGGGGAGAACAGGAGCAGAGGGAAGAAAUCACACGAUGUCGCCUCUUUCUCACGCUGGGCAGGAGAGCGGGUCCUUCCCAGGACAGGGCUUGUUUUGAGUUGUGCGUGUGCGAGCCUCCUCCGCGGGCUAGAAUGCGACCAUGGCACUUCUGGAAAAGGGAGUAACCCCCUGACCGUAUCAUAUAGAAAAUAAUUUUAAGAACUUGCAGGGAAGGUUCUACGUCACCUCCAAUGGCAAGAGUGAGAAAUGCAAGGACAGAAACGGGCAUCGGGCACAUAGCGAGGCUAAAGGGACCCUGGAAGCCAUCAUUUCUGAAAAGCGAUGGUCAGAGAAAGAAACAGAAGCCAGGCCUGGCUUGGAGAAGUGUCUGCCCUCAGAGCACUCCCCUAAAUAAGGGGAAAGCAGUGGGAACAAAUCCUGAGCGCCCUCUUAAGUGCCGCCCCCAUCAUGUGCUGUGGAGAACGGGGGCGAGGGGGGGAAGAAUGAAAGAUGGGGGGGGAGAAGCCCCUCAUUCCGGCUGCAGGGGGAGGGCAGGAAGGGGAACGUGGCGCCUCCGGGCUCAAUGUGUGUGUUUCUUCAAGCUGGAAAGAAAGUAGAGAAAAGGCAAAAAGCCCGUGAUUUCUCAUGAAUAAAUAGACACUUAAUGGAAAGGAGGAGGAAAAAACCCCCAAAUUCUCCGCUCCCGGAAGAAGGCGAGAGGGGGGAAGAGACGCGCCCUGGGAGGGAUGAGGGUCAGCCCCAGCCCUGGAGGGAGUGAGCCCCAGGAGCCAGGGCAGGUGGAAGUGAGGGCUCCCCACGCAGGUGGAGGGCGCCAGCCCUCCCAAGCCCGGCAUUCAGUUUCAGCCCAGCCAGCUGCCCCAGGUUCCCAGGCCACAGCCCAGGAAGGCAAGACACAGAGGUGGCCAUGCUCCCUGGUGGGAGAACACUGGGCCCCAUUUCAGAGAUUAGGGCUGCCGCAGGAAAGCAAGACUUCAAGAUGGCAAAGUUGGGGCUUCUCAGACCUUUCUUUUUCUCUUAACCUUUAGAAAAAUAGUGGGGAAAUUAGGAACAGAAAGUGCAAAUCCCAUAAGACAUAUAACAUAGAACUCUAACGCCAAACCUCGACAGAGGCAGGGGGAGCUCAGACACCAUGAGAACACCCCCAGGCAGACCCCACACGUAGCUGGGAGAGCAGGAAAACGGGUCAGAACAAGCAGGCGCUCCCCACAGUUAUGUCACCAGCAAGGCUUGUUAAGUUUCAGAGUAUUUGAUGAGAAAACCUUGGAGGAAACAGACUGAUGCAAGUUCUUUGAAAAUGCAAGUGCUGUGAUGGCUACUGUGUGUGAGAGCAGACAUGAAGAAAAACGGUUGCCAUGGGAGCACAACCAGCAGAGAACAAGCCGCGGGGCCUGGGCUCACACGCAGAUCAAUGACAGUCUUCUCUUCAGUGUCUGCAGGAAGAUCUCUCAGGUCAGUGCCUUUCAACCUGUUUUUUCUGGACCACCAGUAAGAAACACAUUUCUAUCACACGUACACAGGCAGAUAUGUUUGUAUUCCUGGACAGACCUUCACUUAAAAAUACAUCCUCUUACUACACAUGGUGCAUUCUUUUUUUUUUUUUUUAAGAUUUUAUUUAUUUAUUUGACAGAGAGAGAUCACAAGUAGGCAGAGAGGCAGGCAGAGAGAGAGAGAGGAGGAAGCAGACUCCCCGCUGAGCAGAAAGCCCAAUGUGGGGCUCAAUCCCAGAACCCCGAGACCACGCCCCGAGCCGAAAGCAGAGGCCUUAACCCACUGAGCCACCCAGGCGCCCCACACAUGAUGCAUUCUAAUGUCUUCCAUAGAGUUCUGUUCUACUUAUUUUUGAAAUGCAGUCAUGGUGGUAAGACGAUCCCCAAUAAUCUCCACCCCUGGCAUCCACACCUUUGUAUAAUCCCCUCCCCUGACAGAGGGCAGGACCUGCAAUUCAACAUCACUGACUACUAGAAACAAACCGAAAGCACAGUGAGAUGCCACCUUACGCCCAUUAAGAGGGCUACCAUUAACAAACCACAAAGUACCCAGUACUGGUGAGGUAUGGAGACAUCAAGACCCUGUGCACUGUGAAUGGGAACAGAAAGAGUGCAGCUGCUGUGGAAGCCAGUAUGGUGGUUCCCCAAAACAGUAAACACGGCAUCUCUCUAUGAUCCAACAAUUCCAUUUUUGGAUAUAUACCCCACAAAUUAGAAACAGAUACUUGAAGGGGUAUUGUAUACCCAAGUGUUUAGCAGCAAAAAGGUGGAAGCAGCCGCAGGAUCCGCGAGUGGAGGAAUGGAUAAACACAAUGACUGACACACACAGGGCACUCUCACUCGGCCAUGAAAAGGGAUGGAAUUCUGACACAUACUACACAAUGGAUGAAACUUAGGAACAUUCUGCUAAGUGAAAUAAGACCAGUCACAAAAAGUUAAAUACUAAAUGACUUCACCUAGAUGACGUACUCAGAACAGUCAGAAGUAGAAGGUCAAGUACUCUUCAUAGAGCCAGAAAGUAGAAGAAUGAAUACUGGGAGCUUGGGGAAGGGUACAGAGUUACCGUUUAGUGGGGACAGAGUUUCAGCUUUGUAAGAUGAAGAGUUCUGAAGACGGGUGACACGACACUGAAUGUACUUACCACCACCGCAAUGCCUGAGAAAUGGUGGAGGUGGUUCAUUUUUGGGUUUUCUGUUCUGUUGAUCUGUAGGUCUAUUUUUG
ensembl:lincRNA